UACGAGGGGUGCAAGCGUUGCUCGGAAUUAUUGGGCGUAAAGGGCAAGUAGGUGGUCUCAUUUGUCUGGGGUGAAAGCCUUGAGCUUAACUCAAGAAGUGCCCCGGAAACGGUGAGACUCGAGUAUUGGAGAGGGUCGUGGAAUUCCCGGUGUAGCGGUGAAAUGCGUAGAGAUCGGGAGGAACACCUGUGGCGAAGGCGGCCCCCUGGGCCGGCCCUGACACUGAGACGCGAAGGCGUGGGGAGCGAACGGGA
rnacentral:rRNA from 1 species